GCGGGGCUCGCGCUGCCCUGGCCCGGGGAAAGGAGGAGCCUUUUGGAAAUGCCGAGUGCGUUCCUGUGGAAGUGUGCUGCAGAGGGAAAAGGCCAACGCUUGAAUCUCCUUGGAGCCUGAGGGUUCUCGCCAGCUUUUGGCCCCAAGCCACUGAAGAGUACGAAGAAAACAGAGACUGAGUCUAGCUGCUCUUGUGGACGAAGCGCAACGCAGACAAUCCAGACCCUGGAACAUGAAUGCUGCAAAAAAGCCAGCUGUGCCACUUGGAUCCAACCAAUUGUUGGCCCUCUCCUCCCAAAAUUUCCAUGGCACGAGUAGAGAACAGAUGUAGCUGUUCCUGCUGCACCAAAAAUUUUGGACCUUGUUGCACCCAGGUGAAUGAGGAGCACAAAACCCCUGGAGCUGGCAUCAGGUGACUGCAGGAUCUUUACAACUUUUGGGUCCAAACUGUAAAACCUAAAUAGAAACAAAUGUAGCUACUUCUGCUUUACUGGAAAAAAUCCCCUUUUGAAAAUCUCAGUGUUUCCAACUUU